CUCAAAAAUACAACUUGCCUAAUAAUUCUGCACUCCCUGUAGAUAGCUUCUCCGUGUUCCUGGGACCCAGGAAUCCCAUAGGAGGUCUUUAGCCGUUGACGAUAAUUCGUCGGUACGCCAGGUUCCCCUGAAAGAGUCCAGGCCACCAAGGUCAGACGGCCGUCUGACACCAUCGGAUGUGCGUUCCCCGCCAGGUCCCGGAGUAACAUGUCGUCAUUGGUAGGAGGAUCGGGUCCUGAUAAGACAGUUCGAGAAGGUCCGGGAACCAGGGCUGACACGGCCAGAGGGGCUACAGCAGGGUUAGUCAGACCCUUCGUCUGCGAAGAUGAUUGAGAACUCUGGCAAUCAUGGCAAAUGGGGGAAAGGCAUAUGCUCCCUGCUGUGGCCAGUGUUGAGUGAAUGCAUCCACCGCUAUACAAUCCGGGUCUGGUAGCCAGCUGUAGAGUUGCGGGAGCUGCCAGUUGUUUCGUGAGGCAAACAGAUCCAGUAGAAAGGGUCCCUUCUGGUCUUGCAGAUGCGCGAAUACUCGCGGAUCCAGUUGCCAGUCGCUGGCAUCCCGCCAAUGACGGGAGUACCAAUCCGCCAUGAGGUUCGUCUCCCCCGGUAGGUGUUCUGCCCGUAGUGUGAUAUUGCGCGGGAGGCAGUAGUCGAAGAUUUCCUUCGUUAGAUGCGCCAGGGUUCUCGACCGGGUGCCCCCCAAGCGGUUGAUGUACCGUACCGCGGAUACAUUGUCCAUUCUUAAUAGUAUACAGCAGUUGGACUGCCCUUUUGUAAGGCUGCGGAUAGCAAAGGAGCCCGCUAGCAGUUCGAGGCAAUUGAUGUACAUCGAUAAUUCCUGUGGUGUCCACGUGCCCCCUGUGGACGUUUCUCCAUG